UCACUGGUGGCACAGAAAGUGGUGGUGCAGCUGGAGGCUAUGCUCUCUGUGAGUUGAGGAGGGGGUUGAGGCAGAGCACAGCAGCUUUCGGGUACCCGUCCCGAAGUUCAAGAAAUUCCAGGGGCUGGGAGCCAAACAUCUGUGUUUCCCCUUGGGAGGUGCCAAACGCUAUGUUCCCCCCGUGAAUCGGGCAAGCUUAGGACCUUGUUUUCUCAGCCGGCAGAGUUGUGAGAGCUCGGGCAGGGUGACACAGCUGCACCAGAAACAAGGCACCACCUCUUCCUCCUGAGAAGCUGAAGGUCGGAGAACAAGUGGGAAAGUUCAGGAGGAGCCCAUGGAGAAAAGAAGUGCGAAGGUCCCAAAACGUGGCUUGUUCCUUAUGGUAUUGCAUGCGCUGAGACCAAGCACCUGGAGUCUGAUGCCUCUUGGGUGCGCAGCUUGGACCCACAUUGCAUGUCCUGGAGAAAGGUGGCUGGAGAAAGGAGAAUCCUGGGGUUAAGUAAAAGCUUCAGAGAAAUUCUAUCUUAUCAUGCUUCAUUUCCGAGGCUGCAAAAAUGAGAAACCUCCCAGUUUUGUUAUGGGCCAGGUUUAGUAGUGUCUGAGAGGAGCUACUGGGAGAAACGCUUCAUGGAUACUGGCAAAUGAAAAAAUAAUAAAAUAAGAAGAUGAGUUACGGUAA